GAAAUGCGAUACGUAAUGUGAAUUGCUUUCCGUGAAUCAUCGAAUCUUUGAACGCACAUUGCACCCAAUUAGGGUAUGCCUGUUUGAGAAUCUAUAGUAAAUCUUAUGCAUUAUUUUGUCUAACAAAAUUCUGUAUAGAUAUGAAGUGUCCCGCUUUUGUGGGUACUUUGAAAUAGAUUGCUUUGUAUUACAUGAGAAUGCUUGACAUUUCCUCAUCACCUUGCAGAAACGUAUGUGACUGAAGCUUUUGUUUCUCAUAAUGCCUAAUAUGUAAGGGAGGAGUGGAGUUCAAUUAUAAUAUGAAGUUCUAAACCAUAAGUAGUUUGUCUUGUAUAGGCUACUUGAACACAUGGUCUCAAAUCAGGUAGGAAGACCCGCUGAACUUAA
rnacentral:misc_RNA from 1 species